rnacentral:ncRNA from 1 species
CACACCCAUGCGGGAGAGCGCGGAUAAAGCCGCCGCCGAAGGAGCAACCGCCCCGGAAUCUCUCAGGCACCCGAACCGCAUGGGGCCG